GUAGGUGGCAAGCGUUGUCCGGAAUUAUUGGGCGUAAAGCGCGCGCAGGCGGUUCUUUAAGUCUGAUGUGAAAGCCCACGGCUCAACCGUGGAGGGUCAUUGGAAACUGGAGAACUUGAGUACAGAAGAGGAAAGCGGAAUUCCACGUGUAGCGGUGAAAUGCGUAGAGAUGUGGAGGAACACCAGUGGCGAAGGCGGCUUUCUGGUCUGUAACUGACGCUGAGGCGCGAAAGCGUGGGGAGCAAACAGGAUUAGAUACCCUGGUAGUCCACGCCGAAAACGAUGAGUGCUAAGUGUUAGGGGGUUUCCGCCCCCCUUAGUGCUGCAGCUAACGCAUUAAGCACUCCGCCUGGGAGUACGACCGCAAGGUUG
rnacentral:rRNA from 1 species